GUCACGAUUGCUCAAGUGGUAGAGCAACGGCGUAGCAAGCCGAAGAUCGCGGGUUCGAAUCCCGCUCGUGACA
rnacentral:tRNA from 1 species